AUAUUCAAAUUAAAUAAACGGAAAUGGAAAAGUUUUCCAAAGUUCUUCUUCUUCUUCUUUUGAGGGGUUUCAUACUUCCGUUCGAAAUCUCGACGACGCCCUCCCCCGGAGAAGCGACGAGGACCUUAGCAUUAUCUGACGAAGCCAUUCUUUAUACCAGAUUUGUUGUGUAUGCUACUCGCGAUUUCGUUCUGCCAAUGCUGAAGUCUGGACAAGGAUGAGCGUGUCAAAAGCAGCGAGGACGAAUCAUACGCUUGUUCCUCUUGCAACCCUCAUUGGUAAUGAGCUGAGGAGCGAGAAAGUAGAGAAGCCUCUUAUCAAGUAUGGUCAAGCUGCUCUUGCUAAGAAAGGAGAAGAAUACUUUUUGAUUAAAACUGAUUGUCAAAGGGUACCUGGUGAUCCUUCAUCGUCUUUUUCAGUUUUCGGGAUUUUUGAUGGACACAAUGGUAAUUCAGCUGCCAUAUAUACUAAGGAACAUCUUCUGGACAAUGUCGUGAGUGCAAUUCCUCAAGGCGCAAGUAGGGACGAGUGGCUUCAAGCUCUUCCCACUUCGAUGCUGGCCUGGUGGUUUGUGUCUUUCGAGGUCCAUUGGUGAUACGGAUGUGGGUGAAUUUAUUGUCCCUAUACCACAUGUUAAGCAAGUGAAACUUUCAGAUGUUGGAGGGAGACUCAUUAUAGCUUCAGAUGGUAUAUGGGAUAUACUGUCUUCAGAUGAUGGGAUUGUACCGCGAAAAAAGAUGGACUGAAAGGGGUUGUUGUUAUUAUAUCCGAAGACAGUGGUUACGAUCAAUGGAUUCAUUCUACCGUGCCAAUUUCAAAACCAUUAUCGUGCUGGUUGCUGAUCCUUCACGAGACCUAAGACACUGUCCUGUGACUUUUAAGAUCUCUCUCGAUUACAUGUUUGCACUUUUAUGUAAGGUAUUUGACAUAUCUAACAGUCUAAGGUAUGUUUAACCAUUCUACUUGGACUGACCUCUUCGAGGUCCUGGUUUUGGUGGUGUGGCUCUGGUGGUCUUGGAAACGGUGGCGGUUCUAAUGGAGGUGGUGACGGUGUUUAAUAGACACAUGUCAGUGACAUCACACACUUAUUAAAACGAAAAACUCGUGAUGAAAAAUAUAGUUAAAAGAUACAAACUCUACAAUAAACAGACACAACUCUUCACUGUCUACAAUGAACGGAAACGGUGGCAGUUCUAACGGAGGCGGCGGCGAUAGAGUUGUGUCUUUUAACUAUAUUUUAUUUAUAUUUUUUUUAUUACGACUUUUCGUUUUAAUAGGUGUGUGACAUCACUUACGUGUGUCUAUUUAAAUACCACCACCGCCUCCGUUAGAACCGCCACCGCCACUGUUGGAACCGUCACCGUUUCCAGGACCACUCGAGCCACACCACCAAGACCAAGAUCUCGAGGAGGUCAGCCCAAAUAGAAUGGUUAAACAUACUUUAGACUGUUUAGGUAUGCCAAAUACCUUACAUAAAAGUGCAAACAUGUAAUCGAGAGAGAUCUUAAGAGUCGCAGGACAACGUCUUAGGUCUCGUGAAGGAUCGACACGAUAACGGUCUUGAAAUUGGCACGGUAGAACGUAUCCAUUGACACCGCGUAACCACCGUCUUCGAAUAGAAUAACAACAACCCCUUUUAGUCCAUUUUUUCGCGGUACAAUACCAUCGUCUGCUCAGAUCGCCUUAUCAUAUUCUCGAUCGUUUCGGUGCCUUCUUAAAUAAUGUAUACGCGUAUGGAAAAAACUACUAUCCUAUGGUCUUCUUUUUUUUUUUUUUUUGCAUAAUUGCUAGCAAGUAUUAAUUAUACUUGUGAAUGGCGGUGAUAUGGUCAAGUAUAACGUGUGUGGUGUGUCGUAAUAGGCUAAUAGCUGUUAAUCAAACCGCAUUGUUCGUGUAACCAAACAUAUU